AAGGUUCUGAAGACAAACUUCACAGGCUGCCUACGGGCCCUGUGGUGCUGCUGCCUGCCACCCUGUGAGCACCCCCGAAACAAGGUGGCCCCAACUAGAAAGCAAUGACAGCAGCUCCGUGGACGUGGACGUCCUACCCAUGGCAGACCAUCCACAUGGGAGGAAGCCACGUUUCCAAGGAGCCACAGAGGAGGUGCUGGAAGGACAGUGAGCCCAGGUGAAGAGAGGCAGCCCUGCCUGUUCUGAGGACUGGGACACUGCUGUUCCCCCAGCCACCAUGUAGAAGCCUAGACUCGGCCGAGCUGUGAGCAGCCCAGGAGUAUGCAGAGGCCACACUGAUCCUCUGCCCCAGCCCAGUCA